UACGAAGGGGGCUAGCGUUGCUCGGAAUUACUGGGCGUAAAGCGCACGUAGGCGGCUCUUUAAGUCGGGGGUGAAAUCCUGGAGCUCAACUCCAGAACUGCCUUCGAUACUGAAGAGCUUGAGUCCGGGAGAGGUGAGUGGAACUGCGAGUGUAGAGGUGAAAUUCGUAGAUAUUCGCAAGAACACCAGUGGUGAAGGCGGCUCACUGGCCCGGUACUGACGCUGAGGUGCGAAAGCGUGGGGAGCAAACAGG
rnacentral:rRNA from 1 species